rnacentral:misc_RNA from 1 species
UCUUGUGCAAGCAGCUAGUUUCUUUUUCAAGUUUUCAGUCUCCUGCUCCAACCCAGCUAUCCUAUGAAGAGGCACAUGAGUAGGCAGCCCAAUAUAGCUAGGUCCACUUUGUUGCAUGCAUAGCUGUUCAAUAUCUUUAUGCAAUUCAUCACGCUCGCGUUCCAACUCUUUGAUCCGAGCACGCAAAGAUGCAUUAUCGUUCAAAUUUCCAUCCAUGGCUUGAAGGCUCCAAUUCGAAUGAGAACCCUAGAAACCCAACAACUGAUUCUUAAUUUUUUUUCCCUCUUUUCUUGCCGGAGACGGUAGUCGG